rnacentral:rRNA from 1 species
CAGUAGCGUAUAUUAAAGUUGUUGCAGUUAAAAAGCUCGUAGUUGGAUUUCUGGCUUGAGACACCUGGCCCGCCGGGUAACCGUGUGAGUGCCGGUGUGUCUCUGCCAUCCUUGCAGAGAUCGAGCCUACUAUUUAUUUAGCUGGGUUCGCGAUCUGCAUCUUUUACUUUGAAAAAUUAGAGUGUUUAAAGCAGGCUUUGUGCUAUGAAUACAUUAGCAUGGAAUAAUAAUUUAGGACUUUGGUUCUAUUUUGUUGGUUUCUAGGACUGAAGUAAUGAUUGAUAGGGAUAGUUGGGGGUGCUAGUAUUCAGCGGCCAGAGGUGAAAUUCUUGGAUUCGCUGAAGACUAACUUAUGCGAAAGCAUUCACCAAGGAUGUCUUCUUUAAUCAAGAACGAAAGUUGGGGGAUCGAAGACGAUUAGAUACCAU